CAAAAGGCUUUAUUCAAAGCCAUGUAUGGCCACAAAAUAAUGGGG
rfam:Monodelphis domestica chromosome 1, whole genome shotgun sequence.